GCAUCGAUGAAGAACGCAGCGAAAUGCGAUAAGUAAUGUGAAUUGCAGAAUUCAGUGAAUCAUCGAAUCUUUGAACGCACCUUGCGCUCCAUGGUAUUCCGUGGAGCAUGCCUGUUUGAGUGUCAUGAAUACUUCAACCCUCCUCUUUCUUAAUGAUUGAAGCGGUGUUUGGUUUCUGAGCGCUGCUGGCCUUUACGGUCUAGCUCGUUCGUAAUGCAUUAGCAUCCGCAAUCGAACUUCGGAUUGACUUGGCGUAAUAGACUAUUCGCUGAGGAAUUCUAGUCUUCGGAUUAGAGCCGGGUUGGGUUAAAGGAAGCUUCUAAUCAGAAUGUCUACAUUUUAAGAUUAGAUCUCAAAUCAGGUAGGACUACCCGCUGAACUUAAGCAUAUCAAUAAGCGGAGGA
rnacentral:rRNA from 1 species